AGAGUUUGAUCCUGGCUCAGGACGAACGCUGGCGGCGUGCUUAACACAUGCAAGUCGAACGGAAAGGCCCUGCUUUUGUGGGGUGCUCGAGUGGCGAACGGGUGAGUAACACGUGAGUAACCUGCCCUUGACUUUGGGAUAACUUCAGGAAACUGGGGCUAAUACCGGAUAGGAGCUCCUGCUGCAUGGUGGGGGUUGGAAAGUUUCGGCGGUUGGGGAUGGACUCGCGGCUUAUCAGCUUGUUGGUGGGGUAGUGGCUUACCAAGGCUUUGACGGGUAGCCGGCCUGAGAGGGUGACCGGCCACAUUGGGACUGAGAUACGGCCCAGACUCCUACGGGAGGCAGCAGUGGGGAAUAUUGCACAAUGGGCGGAAGCCUGAUGCAGCAACGCCGCGUGCGGGAUGACGGCCUUCGGGUUGUAAACCGCUUUCGCCUGUGACGAAGCGUGAGUGACGGUAAUGGGUAAAGAAGCACCGGCUAACUACGUGCCAGCAGCCGCGGUGAUACGUAGGGUGCGAGCGUUGUCCGGAUUUAUUGGGCGUAAAGGGCUCGUAGGUGGUUGAUCGCGUCGGAAGUGUAAUCUUGGGGCUUAACCCUGAGCGUGCUUUCGAUACGGGUUGACUUGAGGAAGGUAGGGGAGAAUGGAAUUCCUGGUGGAGCGGUGGAAUGCGCAGAUAUCAGGAGGAACACCAGUGGCGAAGGCGGUUCUCUGGGCCUUUCCUGACGCUGAGGAGCGAAAGCGUGGGGAGCGAACAGGCUUAGAUACCCUGGUAGUCCACGCUGUAAACGGUGGGUACUAGGUGUGGGGUCCAUUCCACGGGUUCCGUGCCGUAGCUAACGCUUUAAGUACCCCGCCUGGGGAGUACGGCCGCAAGGCUAAAACUCAAAGGAAUUGACGGGGCCCCGCACAAGCGGCGGAGCAUGCGGAUUAAUUCGAUGCAACGCGAAGAACCUUACCAAGGCUUGACAUGUGCCGGUCGGCUCCGGAGACGGGGUUUCCUCCUUGUGGGGCCGGUUCACAGGUGGUGCAUGGUUGUCGUCAGCUCGUGUCGUGAGAUGUUGGGUUAAGUCCCGCAACGAGCGCAACCCUUGU
rnacentral:rRNA from 1 species